CACCUCUAGCAUUACCAGUAUUAGAGGCACUGCCUGCCCAGUGACAUUAGUUAAACGGCCGCGGUAUCCUGACCGUGCAAAGGUAGCAUAAUCAUUUGUUCCUUAAUUAGGGACUUGUAUGAAUGGCCCCACGAGGGUUUAACUGUCUCUUACUUUUAAUCAGUGAAAUUGACCUUCCCGUGAAGAGGCGGGAAUAUGACAAUAAGACGAGAAGACCCUAUGGAGCUUAAAUUAAUAUGCUCAACAAAAUUUAAAUUUAACCCAACAGGAAUAAUCACAAUUUAACUGAGCAACAAAUUUUGGUUGGGGUGACCUCGGAGUAUAACAAAACCUCCGAGUGAUUUUAACUAAGACAUACUCGUCAAAGUUACAUAACUUAUUGAUCCAAUCAUAUUGAUCAACGAAACAAGUUACCCUAGGGAUAACAGCGCAAUCCUAUUCGAGAGUUCAUAUCGACAAUAGGGUUUACGACCUCGAUGUUGGAUCAGGACACCCAAAUGGUGCAGCAGCUAUUAAAGGUUCGUUUGUUCAACG
rnacentral:rRNA from 1 species